rnacentral:rRNA from 1 species
UGGGGAAUUUUGGACAAUGGGCGCAAGCCUGAUCCAGCAAUGCCGCGUGCAGGAUGAAGGCCUUCGGGUUGUAAACUGCUUUUGUACGGAACGAAACGGCUCUGUCUAAUACAUGGGGCUAAUGACGGUACCGUAAGAAUAAGCACCGGCUAACUACGUGCCAGCAGCCGCGGUAAUACGUAGGGUGCAAGCGUUAAUCGGAAUUACUGGGCGUAAAGCGUGCGCAGGCGGUGAUGUAAGACAGGUGUGAAAUCCCCGGGCUUAACCUGGGAAUUGCAUUUGUGACUGCAUCGCUGGAGUGCGGCAGAGGGGGAUGGAAUUCCGCGUGUAGCAGUGAAAUGCGUAGAUAUUAGGAAGAACACAAGAGGCGAAGGCGGCUUUCUGGAUCAUAUCUGACGCUGAGGCGCGAAAGCGUGGGGAGCAAACA